UUUUAUAGUUUUUUUUU
rnacentral:sRNA from 1 species